rnacentral:rRNA from 1 species
UAGGGAAUCUUCGGCAAUGGACGAAAGUCUGACCGAGCAACGCCGCGUGAGUGAAGAAGGUUUUCGGAUCGUAAAACUCUGUUGUUAGAGAAGAACAAGGACGUUAGUAACUGAACGUCCCCUGACGGUAUCUAACCAGAAAGCCACGGCUAACUACGUGCCAGCAGCCGCGGUAAUACGUAGGUGGCAAGCGUUGUCCGGAUUUAUUGGGCGUAAAGCGAGCGCAGGCGGUUUCUUAAGUCUGAUGUGAAAGCCCCCGGCUCAACCGGGGAGGGUCAUUGGAAACUGGGAGACUUGAGUGCAGAAGAGGAGAGUGGAAUUCCAUGUGUAGCGGAGAAAUGCGUAGAUAUAUGGAGGAACACCAGUGGCGAAGGAGGCUCUCUGGUCUGUAACUGACGCUGAGGCUCGAAAGCGUGGGGAGCAAACAGG